ACAGGGUGACAGGUGGUGCAUGGUUGUCGUCAGCUCGUGUCGUGAGAUGUUGGGUUAAGUCCCGCAACGAGCGCAACCCUCGCCUCUAGUUGCCAGCAUUCGGUUGGGCACUCUAGAGGGACUGCCGGCGACAAGUCGGAGAAGUGGGGAUGACGUCAAAUCAUCAUGCCCCUUAUGACCUGGGCUACACACGUGCUACAAUGGGCGGUACAAAGGGCUGCGAACCCGCGAGGGGGAGCGAAUCCCAAAAAGCCGCUCUCAGUUCGGAUUGCAGGCUGCAACUCGCCUGCAUGAAGCCGGAAUCGCUAGUAAUCGCGGAUCAGCAUGCCGCGGUGAAUACGUUCCCGGGCCUU
rnacentral:rRNA from 1 species